UGCUUUAUUAACCGUGUGCGCCGUAAUGACCUGCACAUCGUAAUUUCGCCAUAAUUUAAUUGCUGCUAUUUAAAAUUGUACCUAAUUUAAACUUGAAAGUAGGCUAUACCUUUAUUCAUAUCCAUCAGGUUCAAACAACCAAUGCAUUAUUCGAUUCACAGGUACAUAUGUUUAAGAAUUACAUAAGCACCAAAUAAAAAAUGAUGAACCAAGGUUCUAUACUUAUUACAGAUGGUAAAGAAAGAGGUGACAGACAUUUUGGUUGCUGAACAAAGUGAAGCGGAAUGGCCCUAUUAUGCUCUCCUAGAUACAGAAGGCACGCACGACUCUAGUCCAACCCCUUGUGAUGGUCGGCCGCCAAUCAUGUAGUUUGAAAGAUAAUCUUGAUUAAACCGCUUCAGGAUCCACUACAAAGGAAAAAAAAUUCAGACAUUGUCAUCUAACACAACUCAUUACGGACAGUAAAAAAAGGCUAGAGGGUUCUUACUUACCAUCCUACAGUUCACCCUUUGUCUUGCAUAAAGUGUAAACAAAUAGUUCGAUUGACAUCUUUUGACCCAUUUUAAUAACAAUCUUUAUCAGUUUCCUUACUUGAUGCUGGUUCAUGAAUAUCUCAUUGCCCCAUACGCGGAAAGGAUUGGAGUGUGGAUCUUUAGCAAUGACAUAUGUACCUAAAAGCACCAAGUUAAUAUUACACUACUAGGAAAAAGCUACUAGCAGCGCGAGUACCCGCGCUACUAGUAUCACGCUACAGCUAAUAGUUAGUAGUAGCGUUGGUGCACCCACGCUACAGCUAAUAGUUAGUAGUAGCAUGUGUGCCACCCGCGCUACUGCUAUUACGGACCCGCGCUACUACUAACGAAAUAGUAGUAGCGUGUCUAUAAUACCAACGCUACUAGUAUCCUAAAUACUAGUAGCACACAGUUUUUUUCCACGCUACUACUAACUUAUUAGAAAUUAAAAAAAUCAACCAAUUCCGUUUUGUGCAUACAAUUCCAGGAAAACACAAUAGUGACCACUGUUGGGCUCCUAUUUCAUGGUUAACCGGACACCGAAGGCAAUAAAUGAGGCAAAAACCAUCAUUAUGCAUUGCUACUCACGAAUGACCACUUCAAAGAACAUGCAAGUAUGUAUGUCAUUAACAAUUGCAAACAAAAGUUUCUCUUUACUACGGUUGUUGUAUCUACUAUCACAGUUUCUCAUUCUACCUGUUGUCACUCCAAUAAUAAGAAAAAUGAAAAGAAAAAAUAGAGAUAAUCUGCCGCAAUUGCACUUCGGUGUCAUGGAUUCAGUCUGCCGCUUCAACAUCUCAUUAUCCUACAGCAAUGGAAAUUUGCCCCAAAAUUACCUUGUGCAACUCUUCAAAUCUCUUCGUUCAAGUAGACAGUGAGGUCUUAACCUACAAACAAAGAUUGUCCCAUAAGAAUUGCAGACGUCAAUCAUGGGAGAAUAUAAGAGUGUACAAGGACAUAUACAGAAAAUGGAACCAACCUUUAAAUGUUCAUCUUGUAGUUCCCUAUUUUUGGCCAAUUCCGUGUCAUGUUGUGCCCACCCGUGAUAGCCUCGAGGUAAGAUCUCUGCACAAACCUUCCCACUCUGGCGCUAUCUUCUACCUAUGAAUGAAAACAUAACUGACAUGUCUGAGAAGCAAAUGUGAAAGCUGAUUACAACAUGUAUGCUAAGUUGCUAACCCAUAUAGACUAGACCAAAUUUGAAAGCUUCCCAUGUAGCCGAUGAAGUAUAUGAGCACCCCUCAAAACAUCAAUUAGCAAGUACUUGACACAAACAAACUUGUACAGAAAAAAAUAAUACUUCCGAAUUUAAUAGGCAAGCUCAUCGACAAGGCAGGUGAAGAUGAGCAGCUCAUAGAUUUUGUUGCCAGAAGGGUAAUAGUUUGUACUCCUACUAGCUUCGAAACUACUUCACGUACUAGCUUUGGCCAUAACAUAUAUCAAAAUUCAAAGCAGACAUAAGUCUGUCAACUAUGUUGAUUAAUGUGCAAUGAAGCAGAUCAUACUAGUACAAGCAAAUCAAGGAUCUUUUAUAUGGAGGAAAAAAACAGAUUUAUACAUCUCAAUGUAAUUUCAGGGCGAAUCGUCAGCACUUGAUUUGGCAACCUGAAAUGAAUAGGCAACAGGCUCCUACAGAGAACCAAAUCGUGGGGUUCAGGAAAGAAAUAAUGGUACCGGCUGGAGGCAGAGAAAAGGAGCUCCUCCAUAUUGUUUUUCUUCUAGUCUUACAUCUACGUAUAAAGCUAUGCCUUUGAUGGUCACUUAGUUAUGAGCCUGGUAUGGAUCAGAAUGCUACUCUUUUCUGCAAGAAACUGCACUUCUUGUUUGUUGCUCAUGCUCUAAAGACCACAUGGCCGAUCGACACAACGAACUGGAAUACAGCCUUCGCUACUCUAACGAUCGCGCGGCACCAUAGAGAAGGAAUGCAGCGUGGUAGGGGAGUCGGAUUACCUUGAGGAUGCCGAGCUUCACGGAGCUGUAGACGACACCGACGCCGAAGGCGGAGAUCCUAGCCACCUGCAAAGCAACAUCCAUCAUGAGGACAAGAAACCUGACCGUCAGCCAGUCAGUCAGCCAAAUCUAAUCUGCGAGGCCGCGGAUGAAUCAACAACAUCCAUCGCGAGGACAAAAAACUUAUCCACUCUGGAAAAUCAGAAUGACUAGAGACAAUGUGACACACUCAAAUCCAUGUGCAUUCCUCCAAACUUAACUGAAUGAACAGAGCAUAGUUUUCACUUUUCAGUAUAUCAUCCAAAGAUACUACCAAACUGUGUAGUCCGUUAGUAAAAUCACUGAAACCUCUUUCCUGCUUUCAACAAAGGGCCCAACUGAUGUCUGAAGCUAUUGUACUUGACAGACAUAGUUUGUAGCUAAAGAUGACAAACAUGGAAGCACCGUGCACACAUCAGUUAGAUAAACAAGAAUGUGCAGGCGCAUGUACCACAUGGUUAGAAAAAAAUGUUUAAAUCCGGGAAGAGAGAGGCCUAAUAAUGUGCAGGAGGAGAGAGGUGGGCAUGGCCGGGAAGAAGCCAGCGGCGCUGAGCACUGCGCCUUCCGAGGGCGAGGAGAGCGCCGUCGUCCCCAGCUCCACUACCAAGCGCGGGCCCGGUAGACCUAAGAAGGACCCGUCCCU
rnacentral:lncRNA from 1 species